rnacentral:rRNA from 1 species
CCUACGGGAGGCAGCAGUGGGGGAUAUUGCACAAUGGGGGAAACCCUGAUGCAGCGACGCCGCGUGGGCGAAGAAGUAUUUCGGUAUGUAAAGCCCUAUUAGCAGGGAAGAAGAAAUGACGGUACCUGAGUAAGAAGCACCGGCUAAAUACGUGCCAGCAGCCGCGGUAAUACGUAUGGUGCAAGCGUUAUCCGGAUUUACUGGGUGGAAAGGGAGGGCAGGCGGCUCGGCAAGCCAGAGGUGAAAGCCCGCGGCCAAACCGCGGGACUGCAUUGGGAACUACCGGGCUGGAGUGCGGGAGAGGUAGGCGGAAUGCCUGGUGUAGCGGUGAAAUGCGUAGAUAUUAGGAAGAACACCAGUGGCGAAGGCAGCUUACUGGGCGGUGACUGACGCUGAGGCACGAAAGCGUGGGGAGCAAACAGGAUUAGAUACCCGAGUAGUC